rnacentral:rRNA from 1 species
AACUUGUAGACAAAUUAAACUCAAAGUUUAAAAUAAAUUAUUGUAAGCUUUUCCUGCACAAUGAGAAUAAUAAUCUUAAAUAGCCGCAGUACUUUGACUGUGCUAAGGUAGCAUAAUCAUUUGGUCUUUAAUUGGGAUCUGGAAUGAAGGGAGCAACGUGAGAGAUUCUGUCUCUUUUAUAAUAAUCUUAACUUACUAAAAAGGUGAAAAUUCCUUUAAUAAAUAAAAAGACGAGAAGACCCUUAGACUUUAGGCUAUAUAGAUCAACUGAUCUAAUCUCUUUUGUUGGGGCGACACAGUAAAAUCAGAAAAAGCUAAUAAACAUACUGUAAAUAUUAAGAAGAAUAGAACUAAUAUAUUACUAAAAAAUAAAGUACCUAAGGGAUAACAGCAUAAUUAAUUUAUUAGAUUGUGACCUCGAUGUUGGACUAGGAUAAAAAUUUUUUAGAUAAAAAUUUUAAUAAGUUCUGUUCGAACUAUAAUCUCCU